GCAGUAGCCGCGGGAAUACGGAGGAUCCAAGCGUUAUCCGGAAUCAUUGGGUUUAAAGGGUCCGUAGGCGGUCUUGUAAGUCAGUGGUGAAAGCCCAUCGCUCAACGGUGGAACGGCCAUUGAUACUGCAGGACUUGAAUUAUUGGGAAGUAACUAGAAUAUGUAGUGUAGCGGUGAAAUGCUUAGAGAUUACAUGGAAUACCAAUUGCGAAGGCAGGUUACUACCAAUUGAUUGACGCUGAUGGACGAAAGCGUGGGUAGCGAACAGGAUUAGAUACCCGGGUAGUCCCUGUCUCUUAUAC
rnacentral:rRNA from 1 species